UUCUCUUCAAGUAGAUAUCGG
ensembl:piRNA 21ur-5638 ncRNA